rnacentral:lncRNA from 1 species
UAAUUUAUAAUCCUUAACUUCACUCAGCAGCCCCUCUCCCACCACCUGCCACACUGGCAGGGAUAUACAAAACUCAGCUCUCCCUUUUCCCUUUCCCUCUGGAAAAUAAAAAGACUGAAGCUUCCUCAGGUCAGGACAGCAGCACAGGAGUGCUCUAUACCACAAAAGAAUUCAGUCACAGAACAUAGGAAUGGAGUGAACUGGGGCAGGACCAGUACAUGUGGCUGUGGCAUUCCACUAAUAGGACUAAGGAAAGGAGCACAACAUCCACCUGGGGCCAGUUUCAUCCCCCUAGAAAUCACUCUGGGCAGCGAGUGAGUAGGAGCCGUCCCGUGUCAUUAUCACAGGGAGAAGAGGGCACCUAUCAGAACCAGGGGUCUGGGAAGCGAGGACAGAGGUUAACAGGAAGGCAGCCUUUCUCCAGGCUCGUGGAUCUUGUUGAGACAGGGUCUGAUGGAAGGAGCAAAGGCCAUGUUCUCUCCGCAGUCAUUUUCUCUGCCUGCACCUUCCCUGCAGAAUGUUUGGUGAACAGUUCUGAGUUCGAGUGGGAGGCUGGUGAAGAAUUUGCUGACUGAACCUGAGACCCUGUUUCUGGUGAGAUUGUCCUUGAAUCUCUAUUCUUUGGACUGACACGUGGUGAGUGAAAAAAACUGACUUCUUUCCUGGAUUCUCUGAAGAGACUAGCCUCAAGAGAGACCUAUCCUCUUGAGAGAGGAUUCCCAGGUCCUCUGCUACAAGGAUCGAGGCCUCUCCAGUUAAGGACUAAACUGCCUUGCCUAUUUUUGAGCCAGGGAUCUGAGCAAAAUACUUAGUGCUUAAGCUAGAUAUCUUACCCUACUCUCUCUCUGAUUUCUAACUUUACUCAUUCUAUAUUUUGUAAUUAAAUUGGAAAUAAAUCUCUUGGAAUUAAUUAAAGUUCCCGGCA